CGGGGGACGAGAGACCGGGAGUCAG
rnacentral:piRNA from 1 species